UGGGGAAUAUUGGGCAAUGGGCGCAAGCCUGACCCAGCAACGCCGCGUGAAGGAAGAAGGCUUUCGGGUUGUAAACUUCUUUUCUCAGGGACGAAGAAAGUGACGGUACCUGAGGAAUAAGCCACGGCUAACUACGUGCU
rnacentral:rRNA from 1 species